rnacentral:rRNA from 1 species
GGAUGCCGAAGGCAGGUUUGGUGACUAGGGUGAAGUCGGAACAAGGUAGCCGUACUGGAAGGUGUGGCUGGAAUACCUCCUU